AAAAAAACCCCUGAAAUGAGCCCCCAGGAAAACCCCCACGGCCCCUCCCCACCCACCUGGUUCAGGGAAAAAUUUCCUCUGAGAGGGAAGUGGAAAAGAACCUGUUUAUUCAACAACAAAGCACUCCCCAGUACCAAAACAAUUAACACAAGAUGACAACAAGACUCUUUCACCCCUCUGAAGAGCUGAACAAAUCCAGAAGGUCUUUCCUGGGAGUGGUCGCCCGGGUCUGGACGCUGGGGAUGGCUGCUGCAGAUCACCAAAUGCAGGCUCCUGGUGUUCCUUGGUGUUUCCCAGGUCCCAGUCCAGAGCAGGUUGAAUGAUGUUCAGAAAGAGGAAAGGGAAAAAAAACAACAGUCCAGGGAAAGAAUUGGACUGCUUAACCUAACUAGGAAGCAAAGCAAGAAAGCAAGAAAGCAGGCAAAGCAAGCAAGCCAAGCAAGCAAGCAAGCAAAGCAAGCAAGCCAAGCAAGCAAGCAAAAGCAAAGCCAGCCAGCCAGCCCUAGCCUUUUCUAGCUUUCCAGCAGACAUGGGGGGAGGUGAACCAGAUGAUAACACAGCAAAACAAACCUUCACUUUCAGAGUCAGUUCUGAAAGCACAGAACAUAAUAUCAAACGUAAACAGAACACACGAUUGGAGAUACAAACACCAUAACAGUCACCCUAGGACAUUCCACCCCUUAUCUCCAUAUCUUCAACAUCAUGUAAAAACUCCAUCAAGUUAAAACUUGUAUCUUUCACUUACUCAUACCUUCUUUCUCAUGUCUGUGUGUUUUCAUGCACAGACAUUGACAGUAACAUCCAGCAAACAGUGAUAUUUGCACAAUAGUUUCACCCCACAAUCAGAUCUCCCUGAGGUACACAUCGUGUUGUUCCAUCUCUCUGCAUUAUCCACCAUGUACAACCUGGUCCCUGAGCAAAGACAAUCCCAUGAAUGGGUUUGUCUGUACUCGAGGCAGGAUUGAUCCACACUGAUUUCCCUAACAAACCUCUGACAUGUGCCACUGGGACUUUAUCUCCGUCUACUAUAUUCAGGGGCUCAGACUGGGCAGGACCUGCUCGAUUGGUGGAACCUCGGCUGUUAACUAACCAGGUGGCCUUUGCUAAAUGUUGCUCCCAAUUUUUGAAAGAUCCCCCACCCAAUGCUUUUAAGGUGGUUUUUAACAGUCCAUUGUACCUCUCCACUUUGCCUGCAGCUGGUGCAUGGUAGGGGAUGUGGUACACCCACUCAAUGCCAUGUUCCCUAGCCCAGGUGUUGAUAAGGCUGUUCUUGAAAUGAGUCCCAUUGUCUGACUCAAUCCUCUCAGGGGUACCAUGCCUCCAAAGGACCUGCUUUUCAAGGCCCAGGAUGGUGUUACGGGCUGUAGCAUGAGACACAGGGUAGGUUUCCAACCAUCCAGUGGUGGCUUCUACCAUUGUGAGCACGUAGCGCUUGCCUUGGCGUGUCUGGGGCAGUGUGAUGUAGUCAAUCUGCCAGGCCUCCCCAUACUUGUACUUGGACCACCGCCCACCAUACCACAGGGGCUUCACCCGCUUGGCCUGUUUGAUGGUAGCGCAUGUCUCACAGUCAUGGAUAACCUGAGAAAUACUGUCCAUGGUUAAAUCCACCCCUCGGUCUCGUGCCCACUUAUAAGUGGCAUCUCUACCCUGAUGGCCUGAGGCAUCAUGGGCCCAUCGUGCUAGGAACAACUCCCCCUUGUGUUCCCAAUCGAGGUCUAUCUUUGACACCCCUAUCUUUGCAGCCUGAUCUACCUGCUGAUUGUUUUGCUGCUCUUCAUUAGCUCUGCUUCUGGGUACAUGGGCAUCUACAUGGCGAACCUUCACAGGUAGCUUCUCUACCCGGGUAGCGAUAUCUUUCCACUCUUCAGCAGCCCAAAUUGGUUUUCCUCUACGCUGCCAGUUAGCUUCUUUCCACCUCUCUAGCCACCCCCACAGAGCAUUGGCUACCAUCCAUGAAUCAGUGUAGAGGUAGAGCUUUGGCCACUUCUCCCUUUCUGCAAUGUCUAGGGCCAGUUGAACGGCUUUGAGUUCAGCAAACUGGCUUGAUCCACCUUCUCCUUCAGUGGCCUCUGCAACCCGUCGUGUGGGACUCCAUACAGCUGCUUUCCACUUCCGAUUCAUCCCUACGAUGCGGCAGGAACCGUCAGUGAAGAGAGCAUAGCGUGUUUCCUCUGCUGGCAGUUGGUUAUAUGGUGGAGCUUCUUCGGCCCGUGUCACUGGUUCUUCUUCUUCAUCUGCGACACCAAAACUUUCACCCUCGGGCCAAUUUGUAAUUACUUCUAAAAUCCCAGGGCGAUUCAGCUUACCAAUAUGGGCACGCUGCGUGAUGAGAGCAAUCCACUUGCUCCAUGUAGCACUGGUGGCAUGGUGGGUGGAGGGAACCUUUCCUCUGAACAUCCACCCCAGCACCGGUAGUCGGGGUGCCAGGAGGAGUUGUGCUUCUGUGCCAAUCACCUCUGAGGCGGCCUGGACUCCCUCGUAGGCGGCCAAGAUUUCCUUCUCUGUUGGGGUGUAGUUGGCUUCAGACCCUCUGUAGCUCCGACUCCAAAAUCCCAGUGGUCGGCCCCGAGUCUCAUCAGGCACCUUCUGCCAAAGGCUCCAGGACAGACCAUGGUUCCCAGCUGCAGAGUAGAGCACGUUCUUCACAUCUGGUCCUGUCCUGACUGGGCCAAGAGCUACUGCAUGAGCAAUUUCUUGCUUUAUCUGGGUGAAAGCUUGCUGCUGCUCAGGGCCCCAACAGAAAUCAUUCUUCUUACGGGUGAC
rnacentral:lncRNA from 1 species